AAUAGAAUUACAUUUGUACCGCAGACAGCAGGGGCUUCAUGCUUAAUAUCCUGCCGAGGUCAUACGAUAAAGCAAAAUACUUGCUAUUGUAUCCUUCCUCCGUGUCUGCCAUGAUGCGGAGGUUUUUAUUUGAUCGG
rfam:Bacillus subterraneus strain MITOT1 contig_114, whole genome shotgun sequence.